CACCACACUACUGAGCCUCUUGAGACUUGAGAGUUGAGACUUGAAUCUACUAGUCACUACUCAGUACUCACUGAUUCCCGAGUUUUAGCUUCUCCGGUCACCUCGGGAAGGCUCGGCUCGGCUCCGGUAGGGAAAUGAAGCAAAAGAGCGAACGAAUUGCCACUUCCAAGCUAUUGAUUUACUUAUUAAUUGCUUUCAUUGCGAUUCUUGGGUUGAUUUGUAUGUACUAUGGAUCUGCCUUUGCUCCGGGCUUAUCCGGAUCCGGGGACGGUGAGUCUGGGUACGACGGCGUCGAUCCGGUUCUCGGUAGGAUAGCUCUGACACGCGAGUUUGAUAAUUUUUUCGAAGACCGAGAGCUUAACCCUGUAAUCCCAAAAAGCAUACCAGUUUGUGACAUCAGAUAUUCAGAGUUGAUACCUUGUUUGGAUAGAAACCUCAUAUAUCAAUAUAAAUUAAAGCCCAAUUUGAAUUUGAUGGAGCACUAUGAGCGGCAUUGUCCUCCUCCAGAGAGGAGAUAUAACUGUCUGAUUCCACCACCAGUUGGUUACAAGAUCCCUAUAAGAUGGCCUGCAAGUAGAAUUGAAGUAUGGAAGGCAAAUAUACCACAUACACAUCUUGCACAAGAGAAGUCUGAUCAAAAUUGGAUGGUAGUGAACGGGGAGAAAAUAAAUUUUCCCGGUGGAGGCACCCAUUUCCAUUAUGGAGCUGAUAAGUAUAUCAUUUCUCUUGCUAGGAUGCUUAAAUUUCCUGAUGAUAAACUCCACAAUGGUGGAAACAUUCGGAAUGCUAUCGACAUAGGUUGUGGGGUUGCAAGCUUUGGAGCCUAUCUUCUUUCCCACAAUAUUGUAGCCAUGUCCGUUGCACCUAAUGAUGUACAUGAGAAUCAGAUACAAUUUGCACUGGAGAGGGGAAUUCCUUCAACUCUAGGUGUCUUGGGAACUAAAAGACUUCCUUAUCCUAGCCGAUCAUUUGAACUGGCUCAUUGUUCGCGAUGUCGCAUUGAUUGGCUUCAGCGAGAUGGGAUUCUCUUAUUAGAACUAGAUAGAGUAUUAAGACCAGGUGGCUAUUUUGUGUACUCUUCUCCUGAAGCCUAUGCACAAGAUCCAGAGAAUCAAAGGAUCUGGAAUGCCAUGUAUGAUCUUGUGAAAAGAAUGUGUUGGAGAGUUGCUGUAAAGAAAGACCAAUCUGUUAUUUUUGCAAAGCCGCUGAGUAAUAGCUGUUACUUGAAGAGAGAACCCAGGGUCCAGCCCCCUUUGUGUAGAUCCGAUGAUAAUCCUGAUGAAACAUGGAACGUACUUAUGAAAGCUUGCAUCUCUCCCUACUCUGCAAAGAUGCACAAAGAAAAAGGCAGUGGCCUAGUCCCAUGGCCAGAGAGGCUUACUGCGGCACCUCCUCGCCUGGAAGAAAUUGGUGUCAGUCCCAAUGAAUUCCACAAAGAUACUAGCAUAUGGCAUUCAAGAGUGAUUGAGUACUGGAAACAGAUGAAAUCUGUUGUACAGAGGAACUCCUUCAGAAAUGUGAUGGAUAUGAACUCAAACCUUGGAGGUUUUGCAGCUGCACUUAAAGAUAAAGAUGUCUGGGUGAUGAACGUUGCUCCUGUUCAAAAGUUCAGCAGAUUAAAAAUAAUCUACGACAGAGGAUUGAUUGGAACUGUUCAUGAUUGGUGUGAAGCAUUUUCGACAUACCCUCGUACAUAUGAUCUUCUUCAUGCAUGGACAAUAAUCUCUGAAAUGAAGGAGCAAGGGUGUGCUGUAGAGGAUCUGUUAAUUGAAAUGGAUCGGAUACUGAGGCCAGAUGGCUUUGUCAUUAUAAGAGACAAACUCUCUAUGAUAAACUAUGUUCGUAAAUUUUUGACUGCCUUAAGGUGGGAUGGCUGGCUAUCAGAAGUUGAACCUAGAGCUGAUGCACUGUCCUUAGAUGAAGAAAGAGUUCUAAUUGCAAGGAAAAGGAUGUGGAAUGAGAGCAUGUCGACAAUAUAAUCCACUUCUACAGUCAGGUAAAUCCUUUGCAUAAUAUAUUUAUUCGGAAGAAUGUGAUGGCUCUGUUAAGUCAUAGUGCCCAUAAUCAAUCGAGCUUCAUAUCACCAGUCUUAUUGCUGCUGUAAAUGAAAAGAUGUUUCUGUCUCAAGGUUGCAAUUCGGGCUACUUCAAUGAUCGGUGAAUGAGAAAGCAUCCAUAGCCCGCCAUGUUUUAUUGCCACAGCGUACGAAGAUCCUCUCAGAUGGAAACUGAAGUGACUCGUUGACCUAAAAGUUUUACAGACUGCAACUUGGUGGAUACGCGACUGUAUACAGCGAGCACCCCAGUGUUAAGAAGCAAAGAGAAGCUUCAUUACUUUUCUAAAAGGAUUUUUGGUGUUGAUUGACCUGUAUUUGUUAGAAUAACUUGUGAUAACCCAAAGCUAAUCUGGUAAUUUAUAUUGCUUAUUCUAUGGUCACUUUGUUGCCUCUUCAAAUGA